rnacentral:rRNA from 1 species
GACGAACGCUGGCGGCGUGCUUAACACAUGCAAGUCGAACGAAGAGCGAUGGAAGCUUGCUUCUAUUAAUCUUAGUGGCGAACGGGUGAGUAACGCGUAAUCAACCUGCCCUUCAGAGGGGGACAACAGUUGGAAACGACUGCUAAUACUGCAUACGAUCUAACUUCGGCAUCGAGGUUAGAUGAAAGGUGGCCUCUAUUUAUAAGCUAUCACUGAAGGAGGGGAUUGCGUCUGAUUAGCUAGUUGGAGGGGUGACGGCCCACCAAGGCGAUGAUCAGUAGCCGGUCUGAGAGGAUGAACGGCCACAUUGGGACUGAGACACGGCCCAGACUCCUACGGGAGGCAGCAGUGGGGAAUCUUCCGCAAUGGACGAAAGUCUGACGGAGCAACGCCGCGUGAGUGAUGACGGCCUUCGGGUUGUAAAGCUCUGUUAAUCGGGACGAAUGGUUCUUGUGCGAAUAGUGCGAGGAUUGACG